rnacentral:misc_RNA from 1 species
AUCAAAAGCUGCAAAUUUAUGGCAUCAAAUGUAAAAAGGCCAAACAUGGACUUUUGCAUUUCUCUUUUAAUUAACUAGUUAAUUUCUCUUUCAAAUGUUGAAUCGGUAAAGCAUAAUCUUGUUUCUCUGGUUUCUAUCUUCCUUUUGAUUACUUUACGUAGUGUCUUCUCUAUGUGGAAUUGAUAUAACUAGAUCUAUUGGCAUUGCAGUGCAUUGAUGGACUGUGU